GAAGUCUGUGGCAGAGCUGGAAAUGGAACCCAAAUCUUAAAUGAUUUGGAGUUUUAUAAACAGAGCUUGACUGACGAACCAUUCAGUAAGGUUGGGAUCAACUUUCCGUGUUUUCAGUGAUUCACACUGAGACAGGAAGAUUUGCUGUCUUGCUGCUCAUGUGGUUUCUAGUGUCAUAAUCAGGGAGCUGGGCCAGAAGAAGCAUUAAGGGGGUAACAUACUGCUAAUGAAACAGCAGUCUAAGUAGUACAAUGAAGAGUGUCUUGUACCAAUGGCAUCUAGAGCAAGAACAGUGGUUCCAUCUGCUUUUCACUUCACCGAGUUACUGUCAGGCAGUAAGCCAGUGUGAUACAGAGAAAAUAGGGUAGUGUAAUUCUUUUCAUCUCUAUAUUUUACUCUCAUUAGACCUAGAAAUAAUUAUAAUGUUUAGCUAGGUGCCUUUCAUCUUAAUGUCCUUCACAAAUAUUAAAUAAUCUAAUAGCUAUGAUUAAACUUUCACUUGGUAAAGUUAUUAAUGUUUGGAAACAAAUUACUAAUU